rnacentral:rRNA from 1 species
CAUAAACCAAAAUAAUCUCCAUAACAAAAUUAUUCGCCAGAGUACUACUAGCAACAGCCUAAAACUCAAAGGACUUGGCGGUGCUUUAUAUCCCUCUA